rnacentral:rRNA from 1 species
GACGAACCGUCCAAACGUUAUUCGGAAUCACUGGGCUUAAAGGGUGCGUAGGCGGCGCGGAAAGUUGGGCGUGAAAUCCCUCGGCUCAACCGAGGAAUUGCGCCCAAAACUUCCGUGCUCGAGGAAGAUAGAGGUGAGCGGAACUUAGGGUGGAGCGGUGAAAUGCGUUGAUAUCCUAAGGAACACCGGUGGCGAAAGCGGCUCACUGGAUCUUUUCUGACGCUGAGGCACGAAAGCUAGGGUAGCGAACGGG